rnacentral:lncRNA from 1 species
GCCCUCUUGAGCUCUUGUGGUGACCUGGGAAUCAAUGUGUGAGGUGGUGCUAUGUAGCAGGAACCCCUCUUGCUUUGCAAAUAGUUUUUUGUUUGUUUUCCUUUUUGCCCAAUAGAGCCCUGCUCUACUGACCCUUCAAUGUGCCCGUGUGCCUAAAUAUUCCUGGUCGUGUGAAAAGAACCCAGGUAUUAGCUGAACUAAGGAGCACAAUUCUGCAACAUUUUGGCACCCAAACACGGGGCUUGAGAAAUGAAUGCAAUUGGAGAAACUGGUUGUUUUACCAGGCGUUGAUUGGAAAUGUGUGCUUCCCUUUAAGCAGUCAAGCUCAACUUGCAGAACUGAUGGGAACCCCUUGGGAAAACUGGCCUCAAAUGUUUGUCUACACAGUCCACAUACAGGGUUCUUAACCUGCGAUUGAAACUCCCACAACUUUGGCAGACCAACUCCUCAGAAAACAUUAUUCUUUGACAUCAAUAUGUUUUGCACAAAAUUGAAUGGCAAGUGAAAGGCAUCAAAUGAUGGAGUCUUGUUCUGUGGUCCAGGCUAGAGGGCAGUGGCAUGAUCUCGGCUCACUACAAGCUCUGCCUCCCGGGUUCACGCCAUUCUCCUGCCUCAGCCUCCUGAGUAGCUGGGACUACAGGCGCCCGCCACCACGCCUGGCUAAUUUUUUGUAUAUUUACUAGAGAUGGCUAGUGUUAGCCAAGAUGGUCUCGAUCUCCUGACCUCGUGAUCUGCCCACCUCAGCCUGCCAAAGUGCUGGGAUUACUGGCGUGAGCCACCGUGCCUGGCCAGCAUCCUCUAAUUAUUAUUCAUAGUUUGUGAAUUUAGGCCUACGUGAAUAAUAAUAUAAUAUUUACUAUGAUGUUACUAUCUACCAACCUUAUUUUUCUUUUCUAUAAAAUAGGAGCCAAAAUAAUAUUUAUGUCAUACCUUAUGAAGUUAAAAUAAAAUAUAACGAAUGAGGGGCUUAACAA